UUUCCAGAGAUGGAUUGGUGCCUUCGGGAACUCUGAGACAGGUGCUGCAUGGCUGUCGUCAGCUCGUGUUGUGAAAUGUUCGGGUUAAGUCCCGCAACGAGCGCAACCCUUAUCCUUUGUUGCCAGCGGUCCGGCCGGGAACUCAAAGGAGACUGCCAGUGAUAAACUGGAGGAAGGUGGGGAUGACGUCAAGUCAUCAUGGCCCUUACGAGUAGGGCUACACACGUGCUACAAUGGCGCAUACAAAGAGAAGCGACCUCGCGAGAGCAAGCGGACCUCAUAAAGUGCGUCGUAGUCCGGAUUGGAGUCUGCAACUCGACUCCAUGAAGUCGGAAUCGCUAGUAAUCGUAGAUCAGAAUGCUACGGUGAAUACGUUCCCGGGCCUUGUACACACCGCCCGUCACACCAUGGGAGUGGGUUGCAAAAGAAGUAGGUAGCUUAACCUUCGGGAGGGCGCUUACCACUUUGUGAUUCAUGACUGGGGUGAAGUCGUAACAAGGUAGGCGUAGUGCU
rnacentral:rRNA from 1 species